UUGAACGCUGGCGGCAUGCUUUACACAUGCAAGUCGAACGGCAGCGGGGGCUUCGGCCUGCCGGCGAGUGGCGAACGGGUGAGUAAUGCAUCGGAACGUACCCAGUCGUGGGGGAUAACUACGCGAAAGCGUGGCUAAUACCGCAUACGCCCUGAGGGGGAAAGCGGGGGACCUUCGGGCCUCGCGCGAUUGGAGCGGCUGAUGUCGGAUUAGCUGGUUGGUGGGGUAAAGGCCUACCAAGGCGACGAUCCGUAGCUGGUCUGAGAGGAUGAUCAGCCACACUGGGACUGAGACACGGCCCAGACUCCUACGGGAGGCAGCAGUGGGGAAUUUUGGACAAUGGGCGCAAGCCUGAUCCAGCCAUGCCGCGUGAGUGAAGAAGGCCUUCGGGUUGUAAAGCUCUUUCAGCCGGAAAGAAAUCGUCAAGGCUAAUAUCCUUGAUGGAUGACGGUACCGGAAGAAGAAGCACCGGCUAACUACGU
rnacentral:rRNA from 1 species